rnacentral:lncRNA from 1 species
CUGAAAUUGUACUGAAUGACACUGAACUUACGCUUUAAAAUGGUUAAAAUGGUACGUUUUGUGUCCUUUCGGCCUUCCCACUAUACAACAGAGAAACACUGUAGUAAUUAGCAGUCCCUCCCCCACUGACCCCCGCGGGUCUCCCACAGUCCCAGCCAACCACUAAUCUACUUCCCGUCUUAACAGCAGUUUCAUUUUUAACCACAGGGCAGAGCCUGGCACUUGGUAAGUUCUACAUAAGCUGGGGCUGCAGUUCUUGCCAUGAUUUUCAUUUGUAUUCUAACCAAAGGCACUCCUUCGGGAAGCUUUCAGCACCCACAGCGGCUGGAGAUGGGAGGAACCCUUCCCAACAUGGGAACUGGCUUUUCAAAUCCAGUCGGAUCUGGGGUGUUCUGGUUUCCUGCCUUUGCCUGGAAAUUCCAGUGCAGCCCCUACCAGAGGCUCCCCCUUCUAAUGAAAAGCCACACAUUGCAGCCUCAUGCACCAGAGCUGGCCCACAGUCGGAAGAGGAUCGUUGCACGUUUCUCCCACAAACACAAUGGAAAUAAGAGCCUGCGAUUCUGCUCGAUUUCUUAUUUUUAACAAAGAGGCUGAGAGCCCUGUGUCGUUUAAAGCAACCGAAGCCCUCAGUCCUGAGCAGUCAGAUCCGCACAAAAGGUGCGAGGAGCUGCGAUCUUACCGUCGCCAGAGCGCCCACUGGUGGGAGAUGAGAGAACAACAGGGCUGGCUCUCCCAGGACUGCGCAUCCCUCCCUUCCUCUCUGGGCGACUCGCCGCCGCCACCCACCUGGCCCGGCUUGGGGUGGAAGGAAGCCGCCGGGGACAGAGAUGCCUGGGAAUUCUGCAGACCGUGGGGGAAUAUUCACUCCCUCUCCCAGCACACAUUAUGGACACGGACUGUAUGGCGGGCACUGUGCUUUGCCCUCUACGUUGUUUGCAUCCUCCAGAAACAGAGAGGUUAAGUCUCUUCUUGCCCAGGAUCACACAGCCAGAAACUGGAGUUAUUUAAACCCAGGUGUCUCUUGGGACGCCUUGGGUGGCUCAGCAGUUAAGCGUCUGCCUUCAGCUCAGAGUGUGAUCCUGGAAUCCCGGGAUCGAAUCCCACAUCUGGCUCCCUGCUUCGCCCUCUGCCUAUGUCUCUGCCUCUCUGUCUCUCAUGAAUAAAUAAAAUCUUUAAAAAUAAAAAAAUAAAAAUAAAUAAACCCAGGUGUCUCUAGGCAGAGAAAUUUAGCAUAAGCCAAGUGUGGGGGGACCCAGAAGUCUUCUAAUCUUCUUUCAAGAGGGGACUAUCCAGUACUGAUUGGGUUUAUCAGCAAGAGACUCUCAACAUCCAGCUAUAUAACAGUCAGGGUAAAUCACGGUGAAUAGUUACCGAGCUCUUUCCCCGUGUUCGUGGCCAAGCACUUUAGAUGUAUAUCUCACUAAAUCCUCUGGACAAGUUUAGGGAGAAAAAUAUUAUAAAUGUGUCAGUUUCACAGAGGAGGAGACAGAGGGUCAGAGAGGCCCUUUACAUUGCCGAAGGUCUCACCACCAGAAAGUGCUGGAACCAGGAUUGUGAACUCCUGUCUUCCUGGCUGUAAAGUCUCUGCUUUUCUGCAAAAUACUAUUUAGGAAGAGAGGCAGGAUAUGAGGUUGGCCCUGACUCAGUGCAGAAAGUGUUUUCUGGGCCGAGGCAAGAGCUGUGCC